UACGAAGGGGGCUAGCGUUGCUCGGAAUCACUGGGCGUAAAGGUCGCACGUGAGGCGGGCUUCUUAAGUCAGGGGUGAAAUCCUGGAGCUCAACUCCAGAACUGCCUUUGAUACUGAGGAUCUUGAGUUCGGGAGAGGUGAGUGGAACUGCGAGUGUAGAGGUGAAAUUCGUAGAUAUUCGCAAGAACACCAGUGGCGAAGGCGGCUCACUGGCCCGAUACUGACGCUGAGGCACGAAAGCGUGGGGAGCAAACAGG
rnacentral:rRNA from 1 species